AGAUGCACUGAUGUUGCUGACAAUUUAGUUGGUCUUCUAUUGGCCCUUGCAGGACAUGCAGCACAGGAUGAGCUUUGCAAAAUUUAGGUGUGAGACUGAGCUAGGUAGGAAGGGGGGAUUGGGAGUGUUGCAAUACAGUCUCGGCCUACAAGGUUGCAAACAGUUCCUUUCAUGACUGACAGCAAUGGAAGCAAGCUAGUAUAGUCCUUCGACUUUCACUUGAGCCGAACAUGAAGUUCUUUACCUGACCAAGUGCACAAAAGUAGAGAUGUCCUUGAAAGUUUGAAGCCCAUUCCUUGGCCAUGUUCAGUGUUGGGUCAUGUAUGAAAUAACAUACAGCACCAGUGUCAACUUCUAAGGGGCUCCCUCACAUCACAUCUAGUAGCAGGGCUCUCUUGUUGAAGUGAGGUCACUCGCAGAUAGUGCAUCGACUCUAUGCAUGCAUGUAUUAAGUGUGUGUCCUUGUUCUUUUAGGAGAUACAGGCACCUUCUACAUCGUGCUCAUAUGAGCAGAAAUGGCACCCUCACUUUUUGAACUUGCAACUGGAUGGUUCGUGCAAGCUCUCACAUCAAAAGAAGCAUUGUGGCGAGGCUACUGUCUUUGUGUUUCAUGCUCAAUUCCUUGUUAAUUUGACCAGAAAAAGAAGCACGCUCAACAACCAAUGAAGCUAUUGGCACAUACUUGUACUUCGGAACAUUCAGUGCCCUCUGGAAUUGCAGAAUGUUUGCCGACAUCCUCUUCUCUGCACUUGGGAGAGCUGGACUGCUCCACCACAAGACCCGCUCUGCUCUAUAUCCACUGCCGGUGGGCCACACAAAACACGUUGAUGAGUCCAGACAGAUGAACUCAGCAUCAUGACCGGGAACUCAGCUGGACUCCAACAUCAACAAGUCAACUCAGAAAUAAAGUUUCUUUAUUUUCCUCUUGGCUUCAGUUUUGCACUCUAAACAUGUCUUAAAGUGAAUAAUGAAAAAACUAAUGGCUUUUCAUAAUUAACUACCUGGACAUUGCAAUAUCUCAUGCAGGUAAUGUCUGCCUCUUCC